rnacentral:rRNA from 1 species
UACGAAGGGGACUAGCGUUGUUCGGAAUCACUGGGCGUAAAGCGCACGUAGGCGGAUGUGUCAGUCAGGGGUGAAAUCCCGGGGCUCAACCUCGGAACUGCCUUUGAUACAGCACGUCUCGAGUCCGGAAGAGGUGGGUGGAACUGCGAGUGUAGAGGUGAAAUUCGUAGAUAUUCGCAAGAACACCAGUGGCGAAGGCGGCUCACUGGCCCGGUACUGACGCUGAGGUGCGAAAGCGUGGGGAGCAAACAGG